GCUAUCUCAUGUAUCUUCUUCUUUUCUCAUCUUCUUUUUCUCUAUUAUUUUUUCACCCAUCUCCGGGCCUCUUCCUGCUUGAUCUCCCCCUAUCCCGAGCUCUGCGUGUGCUUCGCCGGCUGUCCCACCCCGUGAGCUAAUCCGGCCGACGUCGGCGCACUAAAGGAGAAAGUGGAGAGGUCGUGCUCGGAUAGGAGACGGCGGAUUUAAGCGGAGCAUGCUCAAGAUUGGUGGCUAAUGGAGAUUCCGCACCAUGAGGUCAAGGAGUCGGAUAGCGACGUGGAGCGGCGGUGUCUAACUCGAUUUUGCCCUGCCCGAGCUCUCCCCGGCUGCAAGAUUCCUUGGCCGAGCAGCUCCGUGGCCGACAGCCAUGCAACGGAUGGAAGGGCUCGCGCCGCUCCGUCUCCGACGACCGUCAUCGCUGUGUGGCUCCUCCACGACUGCCGCGCCGGACGGAUCUCCCAGCGUUGCCCUAGCUCCCGCUGGAGGGCAAGCCUUUUGCGGUGCCGGUGAUGGGCGUCGGCGGCUCCAUGGUUCAGCGCACUCCGUGCACAAACCUUGAGCACCGCGGCUGCUUGCCAUGAGAUGCCUCACCAUCGCUGCAAAAUAUUCACAAUCUCCAUAGCCAACAAAGAGAUGAGGAGUUCGAGCGAUGACCAUAUAUGUCCAUGGAUUGGGUGAUUCAAUGACAGUCUGUCGCAGUCCCCGCGCACCGUCGAGGAGGCGAUGCGGGUGUUCAGCUGCUACAGCGCCAAGGACAAGAACCUGGUGCCGACGUGGUUCCUACUGCACUACCUCCACUGCCUCUAGGCUGACGACCCAAGAUGCCUCGCAGGCCUAGCCGAUAUGGUCGUGCAUGGCGCAGCGUUCAGCGUACUCCUGCCAAGGCCUCUUUUGGGUGUUGCGGGUCACGUCGUCUGAGAAGAUGAGGAAGGUGGGAAGGCUGGUGGGCAAGUACCUCGCGAAGAUCUCGCCGGACCAUGGGCUGGGCGUUUCUAGGUUCCUCGCCAUCGCUGAGAGCCUGCCCGACUCGGCGAGGGUCUUCUACGAUGGUGUGUACAAGGCAUGGAACAUCUACCUCGAGCGAUUGAUGCAUAUAGUGGCUUCUUCUCUGUAUGUGUUAACAGGCGUCACAAUUGGGGGAGGUGGGACGCUGAUCUCGGUUUACCUGGAUGACCUCACCAUCCUGUCUUAUGCUUAGUCGAGCUGGAUAAGCUGUGCUAUUGCAAUCUCAUGGUGGUGAGCAACAGCUAGCACCAUUUCGAGUUCAAGGCGACAUCUACGGGGUAGUAUUUCGACGGGCCAACCGUGGGAUUCUUCGCCCAGUCGUGGGAUUUUUGCUCGAUAACAUUUAUAGUAGCCGAGAGGACACAAAUGCUAAAAUGGAAGAAAGCUCUGGUCACAUCAACAUCAUGAUUAGAUUACAAUAUUUAUGUGUAAAAAGGGACUGAUACAGAGUAGAUAUAAAGGGCAGCCGGUGGUUUGACAGAGCCAAGUCACUGGAUCUCAGUCUUGAUUAAGUGCGUUCCUGAUGUUUCAAGCUUGCAGACGCUAAUAAGGAACAUAAUACAGAGACUUACUAAUUUUCGGUUAUAAGUAUCGUUUAGUGGACUGUAAGUCGCGAGCAUUUAUUCUUGACAUAUGGGGAGUGAUCCUUUUAUGGUGGUAUGGUAUCCCAUCCCUUUCCCCUUAAUUAUGAUGUCUAAUAUUUGAUCUGUCCAACAUGAGCCAAUGAGAAAUAAAGUAUGGGCAUCCUUUACCUCAUUUUAUUGCUGCAAUUUCAAAUUGAUCAAAGGUGAACUAUAGUUAGUGCGGUCCAAGCGGUGGCUGGGUAUGAUACACGCCUACACCAUUACGAUCUGACGGAGAAAAGAGUUCCAACUUUAUAAAUAUUGUCCUUCAAGUAAAACAAUUUUUGUAUUAUGCAGAUUGUUCUAAUCCAUUUGAUCCCUUGAGCGAAAGGGUUGUUUCUGGUCAUGGGAAGAACUGUUUAAUUGAGAAGUUCAUCGUGUUUGAAUUUUCUCUAUUGCUAUGGCAGUAUUUCUUGCAAAUCUACAUUAUUGUUUUUACGAACCUAGGGACUAUGAUUGUCUACAAAGACUUGAGGUUGCUCUCAAGCUACCAGAAACCCUGGUAAUGCCUGAUGGCAAUCAUGAAAAUGGCAGAAGAUUGAUGAGAAUUUUCAUCAUACUCACUAUUAUUUUCAACAGAUUUGCUAUUUUCAAAGGUAUUCUCUUAAGUUGUAGCUUCACUAUUUUUUCUCUGGAUUCGAUUCUCCUUUGUGCUCUGUAUUGCCUAAUUUACUCAAUGUUCAGUACAAAUCAUACAACCCACUAAAUACAUAUUCAUUCACAAUCUAUUUUUCCUGCAACUGUUCAUCUUCUAUGUGUCUGUGUCACUGCAAGAAGGAAGAUUUUUUGUGGAAAAGGAAAGUAAGAUUUCAAGUCAGCCUACAUUAUUCAAAGAGUGGUGUUCAUUACUUCAUAGGGUUAUAUCAUGGUCUCUCAAAACUUUUGUCAAGCCAUUUUCACUUGUGUUUUUUUUUCAUUGGCCAUCCCAACUUCUAUGCUAAUAAUAUCUAGCUCAAAUAUUUAGGAUUAUUCAAAGAGUGGUGUUUCUUACGUCACAAUGUUAUAUCAUGGUCUCUCAAAAAUUUCGUCAAGCUAGCCAUUUUCACUUGUGUUUUUUUCUCCGUUGCUCAUUCCAACUUCUAUGCUAAUAAUAUGUAGCUCAAAUUUUAGGAGCAUCGAGACACGGUGUCGACAUAAGUGUUCAGAUGAUAUAUAUCUUCAGCAAUUUAUCUAAAGCUUUUAGUGAGCAGGAAUUUGAUGUUAUAGCCUGACAAGGAAUAUAACUGUUUGAUGUUGCAGUUGUAUAUAACUUUGUUUAUAUCUCAUAUAUUGUUUCAUUGUCUAGACCAUAGUCCUCCAUAUAUGCCACAUCGGUGCUCUUUCGAUUCUCCUCACAUGGCUACGAUACGGGCGCGGCGUGCCGCCGCGCCAUGCUUUG